rnacentral:sRNA from 1 species
GAUAUGGACAUAACUACAAACUGGAAAACUAUCUUCAUGACUUAAGUCUAAGGGAGCUUACUUCUGUAUCCAAGUGGCAGGAUCCAGUUGUCUUAACCAAGAGUUGUUUCCCUCAAGACAAUGUACCAUUACUUCCAGAAGCAGAAAAUGAAGAAAGCCAAAUAGAGUUGCCAGAAAAGGUUAUUAUUCACAGUUAUGUUUAGCUGUGCUAGCUUUGAAUAUUGUUGGAACCUGUGCCAGUGAUGUACUUUAGAAACAAAACUUUCCUU